ensembl:snRNA U6 U6 spliceosomal RNA
CAAACCAUACAGAGAAGAUCAGCAUAGUCCCUGUGCAAAGACGACAUGCAAAUUCAUGAAGUAUUCCAUAUUUCU